UACGGAGGGGGCUAGCGUUGUUCGGAAUUACUGGGCGUAAAGCGCGCGUAGGCGGCUUUGUAAGUUAGAGGUGAAAGCCCGGGGCUCAACCCCGGAAUUGCCUUUAAGACUGCAUCGCUUGAAUCUUGGAGAGGCGAGUGGAAUUCCGAGUGUAGAGGUGAAAUUCGUAGAUAUUCGGAAGAACACCAGUGGCGAAGGCGACUCGCUGGACAAGUAUUGACGCUGAGGUGCGAAAGCGUGGGGAGCAAACAGG
rnacentral:rRNA from 1 species